AACGAACGCUGGCGGCAUGCCUAACACAUGCAAGUCGAACGAGACCUUCGGGUCUAGUGGCGCACGGGUGCGUAACGCGUGGGAACCUGCCCUUAGGUUCGGAAUAACUCCCCGAAAGGGGUGCUAAUACCGGAUAAUGUCUUCGGACCAAAGAUUUAUCGUCUUUGGAUGGGCCCGCGUUGGAUUAGCUAGUUGGUAGGGUAAAAGCCUACCAAGGCGACGAUCCAUAGCUGGUCUGAGAGGAUGAUCAGCCACACUGGGACUGAGACACGGCCCAGACUCCUACGGGAGGCAGCAGUGGGGAAUAUUGGACAAGGGGCGAAAGCCUGAUCCAGCAAUGCCGCGUGAGUGAUGAAGGCCUUAGGGUUGUAAAGCUCUUUUACCCGGGAUGAUAAUGACAGUACCGGGAGAAUAAGCUCCGGCUAACUCCGUG
rnacentral:rRNA from 1 species